GUCAUUAAAGGCCUGGAUCUUGGUUUUUAUCAGGACACUAGCAAGCCCAGACACUCAGACUCCUCACUCAGCCUGACGUCCCCUUUAACUUGAAGGCAUGUAACGUGACAUCAGCUUUACCAAUCAAUGAUGUGCAACACUCCCUGUGUGGUCCCCUACUGGGAUGUCUCCCUCAGCCUGCUAACCCUGUCUCCCCACAUCAGUUUCUUCUCCUAUCCUUUGGGUGAAGCCAUCAGCCUUGAAGACUCUGUGCAGCUAACACAAAGCCAGAU